rnacentral:rRNA from 1 species
UACGGGGGGAGCAAGCGUUGUUCGGAUUUACUGGGCGUAAAGGGCGCGUAGGCGGCCACCGCAAGUCGACUGUGAAAUCUCCGGGCUUAACCCGGAAAGGUCAGCCGAUACUGCGGGGCUAGAGUGCAGAAGGGGCAACUGGAAUUCUCGGUGUAGCGGUGAAAUGCGUAGAUAUCAAGAGGAACACCUGAGGUGAAGACGGGUUGCUGGGCUGACACUGACGCUGAGGCGCGAAAGCCAGGGGAGCAAACGGG